rnacentral:misc_RNA from 1 species
UUUCCGUAGGUGAACCUGCGGAAGGAUCAUUAAUGAAUGAAUGUAGAGUCGUUUGUAGCUGGCCUCCCCGGAGGCAUGUGCACGCCUGUGGUGAAUUCAUCCAUACACACCUGUGAACCUAUUGUGGGACGCCCUUCGGGGUGAAUCCCAUGUUUUACACACACUCUUGUAUGUCUAUAGAAUGUAAAGCUUGUAUUGCCGUAAAACGCAAACUUAUACAACUUUCAACAACGGAUCUCUUGGCUCUCGCAUCGAUGAAGAACGCAGC